ensembl:lincRNA
GUGACCUGGUGGAUGCUGCUGUCCUCUGUGUGAGGGAGGAAGCGAGGGAACUGUCAUGGCCCACGAGCCUGUUCACCUCCAGAAGUGGCUCCCAACCCCAGGCUCCUUCCAGCAAACCCUUGGAAAGGUCAUAGAGCCUGGCUGCCCCAGGCCUCGAGGGGAAGAGCGUGGGGGGCAGGAGGGUGGACAGGGCCCCUUGGGUCAUUCCGAGGGUUCAGGUUCACCUGGGAGGGUCUGCCCUGCGGAGAGGUAGGAGCCCCUGUGGCAGGAAGAAGGGACCCUCAGGGCUCCUAGCCAGGGCCGGGGGAGUGGCUCAAGUCGCGUGGAGACCGUGGGCUUGGGAUGCUCAGGAGUCGGGGACCGGGAGGGUCUGCAGGCUCACUGGCUGCGGGUGGAAAGUGAGGGCCGUGAGAGUGGCCUGAGCAGCUUGGUGGGGGCCGCAGGGGCCGGGUGGGCCUGGGGUGAGGUGAGGAGGCGACAGGGGAUGCAGCUGGAGUGCUGAGCUGCAGGGUUCCGUUUGAGGGACACGGGUCCCAUGGGAGCGUCCACUGGACUCAGGCGUCCAGGCAGUGAUGCCUUGCGCUUGGCUCUAGCCCUGGGUGCCUGGACAAACAGGGGCCUUUCCAGGCAGGGCGCUGUGGUGCAGACAAGGGCAGCCAACUGCGUGACAAGGAGGACAGCCACAGGGCAGCAGAGAGGAAGUGAGAGCUUGUGGGAGAGGUCAUGUCUGGUGUGGGAGCGAGCGGGUUCCCCUCAACCCAGGAGUGGGCCUCAGGGCACAGGGCACAGGGCACAGGUGUGUUCACAGCCUGGCUGGGCGGCACCCUCUCUGCCCAGCGCCCCUGCAGGACCACAGCCGCCCUGGUGGGACCAGCACAGGUGCCGGGCAGAGGGAAGCAGAGGAGCCCCUGAUGUCUCGCUGCUGUCGUCCGUCUGUCCAUGCUGGGCUGCAGCUGGUGUGACCUCCACUGUGCUCUUGUUUUUGUUCGUGGCAGCAGCCGCUCCAGACAGCCUGCCCCCGCUGCAGCGGGGAGGUACCACCAGGACUACACACUGCAUGGAGCUGGCAGGAGCCCUGCCCCUUCCGAGCUGCAAGCCUGCAACUUUUGCAGCCACCCAAGUUGUAACUGCAGAUCUGAGUCUUCCUGUGGUCUUCCAGGGCAAGCAGGUAGGAGCCCUGCUCUCCCGGGUGCCACUGCAGCCACCCAAACUGUGGCUGCAGCUUCAGGCAUCCCUCCACUCUUGGGGGCCUGGGAAGGCCCCCCCUGCCCCCACUGCCUGGCUUCUCCCUGCUGUUGGCUGUCAACACCCACUCUGAUCUCGGAGCAAAGUUGGGCUGAGCAGGGGCCAUGAAUGGCAGUGGGAGGCAGAUUCCUGGGCAGAAGCCGGCGGGUACCCGAUAAGACCCCACUUUCAGACCAGGGAGAGCCUGAAGGCUGAAGGCCGGGCUGCCAGAUCCACAGACCAGAGUGGGGACUUGUGGUACCUUUUCUGGGUGCCCAUGCACCAAUCGGCAUGCAUUUCCUCCUCUCUGAGGUCCACAAACACCCCAGGCUCAACCAGAGCAAGGCAGAGGAUGGAGAAGCAACCGGAGACUAGAUGACCAGCUGCAGAGGAGCUACCCUCUCUGCUGAGAGCUGGGAAGUCAACAGGGACCUGCCUGCAGAGUGGAGCCACCCACUCCAGGGCCUCCGGGGCCUCCUCUCUACAGAGAGCUGAACGCUGGAGGAGAUGACCUGCCUACAGAGAGGAACUGCCCACUGUGGGUCUCCUCCCAGCUGUCCUAAGAUUCAAUAAAGCUUUUCUUUGUCUUGCUCACUCUCCACUUGUCUGUGUGCCUCAUUCUUCCUGGACACAGGACAAAAACUCAGGCAAAGGUUGGGAUUACAGGCGUGAGCCACUGCGCCCGGCCCAAUACUUUGACUUUGCUGCAAUGCAUUCUACUUUCUGUAUCAUUUAUUUUUAUUUUUAUUUUAUUAUUAUUUUUUGAGACAGAGUCUCACUCUGUCCCCCAGGCUGGAGUACAGUGGUGCAAUAUUGGCUCACUGCAACCUCCGCCUCCUGAGUUCAAACAGUUCUCCUGCCUCAGCCUCCCAAGUAGCUGGGACUACAGGUACACGCCACCAUGCCCGGCUAAUUUUUGUGUUUUUAGUAGAGACUGGGUUUCGCCAUGUUGGCCAGGAUGGUCUUGAACUCCUGAUCUCAAGUGAUCCACCUGCCUUGGCCUCCCAAAGUGUUGAGAUUACUGGCGUGAGCCACCAUGCCUGGCCCAGUACCCUGACUUUGAUGCAAUGCAUUCAACUUCCUGUAUCAUUUAAAUGUAGUGGAAUUGUUAUAAAGAUGAAUGUUAUACCUCCUAGUUUUCUGGAUAAUGUUCUCCGUAAGUUUUAUACGUUGACCACAAUGCCAAUUAUAGUUAAAGGCAAGCUUGUUUCUCAUAAACUAUGUGACUUCAAGUUAAUUACUUGGCUUCUUUGAGCCCCAGAGCCUGAAUUUGUUAUAUGAUAGGGUCAGAAUCCUCUGUCUCUGAAAUUCUUUUCAACUCUAGUUGUGGUCAUUCUAUAUUUUAGUCAACGGUUAAAU